UGCAGUCGAGCGCACUCUUCGGAGUGAGCGGCGGACGGGUUAGUAACGCGUGGGAACGUACCCAGAUCUACGGAAUAGCCUCGGGAAACUGAGAGUAAUACCGUAUACGCCCUUCGGGGGAAAGAUUUAUCGGAUUUGGAUCGGCCCGCGUUAGAUUAGAUAGUUGGUGAGGUAACGGCUCACCAAGUCUACGAUCUAUAGCUGGUUUUAGAGGAUGAUCAGCAACACUGGGACUGAGACACGGCCCAGACUCCUACGGGAGGCAGCAGUGGGGAAUCUUGGACAAUGGGCGCAAGCCUGAUCCAGCCAUGCCGCGUGAGUGAUGAAGGCCUUAGGGUCGUAAAGCUCUUUCGCCAGAGAUGAUAAUGACAGUAUCUGGUAAAGAAACCCCGGCUAACUCCGUGCCAGCAGCCGCGGUAAUACGGAGGGGGUUAGCGUUGUUCGGAAUUACUGGGCGUAAAGCGCGCGUAGGCGGACCAGAAAGUUAGGGGUGAAAUCCCGGGGCUCAACCCCGGAACUGCCUCUAAAACUCCUGAUCUAGAGUUCGAGAGAGGUGAGUGGAAUUCCGAGUGUAGAGGUGAAAUUCGUAGAUAUUCGGAGGAACACCAGUGGCGAAGGCGGCUCACUG
rnacentral:rRNA from 1 species